AUCUAAAUAGUUUAAAAUAAAAUGUUAAUUUGUGGUGUUAAAGAUGUAUUUAUACUUUAGGUU
rnacentral:tRNA from 1 species